rfam:Triticum aestivum genome assembly, contig: Triticum_aestivum_CS42_TGACv1_scaffold_309390_4AS
AGAGUACUCCCUCCGUUCGGAAUUACUUGUCGCAGAAAUGGAUGUAUCUAGACGUAUUUUAGUUCUAGAUACAUCCAUUUCCAAGACAAGUAAUUCCAAACAGAGGGAGUAGAUA